CCAGUCCAGUAGUGCUCUCCCUCCUUCCCUGCAAACAUCAGUUCUUUCUCACUCUCACUGCUCUCUCGACCUCUGGCCUUCUGACCAGUCGUCACUUUGCUUCUCUGCCCUACCUCUCCUCUCUUCUGGCUACUGCUGGACUCCGUGUAGGAUCAAGUUUGUAAUCUAUAAUUUUGGAAAACUGAGGCAAGACCAAGGGUAUUCAUUCUCGUGUUAGGAGGAAGUUUAAAGGAGUAUUUUUGUAACUUCUUUAUCAAAAAUAUUUCCCCAAUGUCUUCCCUGCCAAACACAAAACCAAAAAGCAGAUGAUUUGCAGAGCCUUAGCAAAGCGUGAUCGGAACUUCUUCCUAAACUUGAUCACCAAAGCCACCAAUCAAUCCCAUCUUCGCCAAACCCACGCCCAAAUCAUCCUCAAUGGUCUAAAUACUGACUUAGCCACCGUCACAAAGCUCGUUCAAAAACUCUCCGACCUCGCCGCCAUCUCCGAUGCAACCCUCAUAUGUUCCAACUUUCCCAACCCUGAUCUUUUUCUCUACAAUGUUAUAAUCAGAGGAUUUUCUCGUAACAAUAACCACUCGAAUUCUCUGUUCAUCUACCGCCAACUGCGUGAAAACACUGCUCUUAAGCCAGAUAAUUUUACUUAUGCAUUCGUUAUUUCUGCUGCAUCGAAGCUUUUGCGUAAUAAAGUAGGCUUGUCUCUGCAUGGGCAUGCCAUUGUUGGUGGAGCUGGAUUGGAUUUAUUUGUUGGGUCUGCCAUAGUCGAUAUGUAUUUGAAUUUUGGUAAGGUGGGGUACGCAUACAAGGUGUUUGAUGGAAUUCCUGAACCAGAUACUGUUCUGUGUAAUACUAUGAUAUCAGGGUCAGUUAAGAACGGUUGCUUUGACGAGUCGAUACAAGUUUUUAAAAACAUGAUUUUGAGAGGAACUCCAUUCGAUUCCACCACUUUUGCCGCUACUCUUACGGCUGCUGCAGAGUUGCAAGAGUUGAAAGUUGGAAUGGCAAUCGAGUGUUUGUCGAUUAAGCUUGGAUUUCAUUGGCAUGCUCAUGUUCUUACGGGUCUUAUAUCAUUAUAUGCAAAAUGUGGGGAUAUGUCAACAGGAGAACGUUUGUUUGAGCAGAUCAAACACCCGGAUAUAAUAGCUUACAAUGCUAUGAUUUCUGGGUUCAAUUGUAACCAAGAAAUGGAGUCCGCUAUUGCCCUCUUUAGAGAGUUGUUAGUUUCGCAUCAGAGAGUCAAUUCAAGUACUAUGGUUGGUUUGAUCCCUGUGUUUCAUCCCUUUCGUCAUUUGAUUCUUUCAAGUAUAAUCCAUUGUUUUUGUUUGAAAUACGGUUUGAUUUCGAAAACUUCAGUUGCAACCGCAUUGGUAACAGUCUACAGUCGACUUAAUGAGAUUGAUCCAGCAAGAAAGCUAUUUGAUGAAUCCUCAGAUAAAAGCUUAGCAGCUUGGAAUGCAAUGAUUUCUGGUUAUGCUCAAAAUGGAGUAACAGAUAAGGCAAUUGCGCUCUUCCAAGAGAUGCAGAAACUCAACAUACCUCCAAAUCCUACAACGAUCACCAGUAUUCUUUCGGCAUGUGCUCAGCUUGGUGCUCUAAGUCUAGGAAAAUGGGUUCAUGAUUUAGCAAGCAAGGAGAACUUUAAGUCCAAUAUAUACGUUUCAACUGCCUUAAUUGAUAUGUAUGCCAAAUGUGGAAGCAUAGAAGAGGCUCGUCAAGUAUUUGACACCAUGCCUGAAAAGAAUGCAGUGACAUGGAACGCUAUGAUCUCUGGUUAUGGUCUCCAUGGCCAUGCUCAUGAGGCACUCCAGAUUUUUGACAAAAUGGUGGAUUCAAAAGUACCCUUAAGCGGGGUUAGUUUCGUUUCUGUAUUAUAUGCUUGUAGCCAUGCUGGAUUGGUGAAAGAAGGAGAAGAGAUUUUCUAUGCAAUGGUCCAAGAUCAUGGGUUCGAACCCUUAUCCGAGCAUUACGCUUGUAUGGUUGACCUUCUUGGUCGAGCUGGAGAACUACAAAAAGCUUUGGACUUUAUCAAGAAAAUGCCCAUCGAGCCAGGUCCAGCCAUAUGGGGUGCACUUCUUAGCGCCUGCAAGACUCACAAGAACACCGAACUAGCACGACUAGCAUCAGAUAAGUUGUUUGAAUUGGAUCCAGAAAAUGUAGGUUAUCAUGUCUUACUCUCCAACAUACACACUGCUGAUAAAAACUAUGAUGAGGCUGCUUCAGUUAGACAGGUGGUCAAGAAUCGAAAUCUUGCAAAGACUCCCGGAUGCACUCUAAUAGAAAUCGACAAAAUCCCACAUGUAUUCACAUCUGGACAACGAUCCCACCAAAAAACAGAAGCAAUUUAUGGGAAGCUGGAGAAAUUGAUGGGUAAGAUGAGGGAAGCUGGAUAUCAGACAGAUACUAUGACAGCAUUGCAUGAUGUUGAGGAGGAAGAGAAGGAAUUAAUGGUGAAGGUUCAUAGUGAGAAAUUGGCCAUUGCUUAUGGACUUAUGAACACAAAAAGAGGAAGUGAGAUCAGGAUCAUAAAAAACCUUAGAGUGUGCAUAGACUGUCAUAACUUUACCAAAUUUAUAUCCAAGAUUACUGAAAGAGUUAUUGUUGUGAGGGAUGCCAAUAGGUUUCAUCAUUUUAAAGAUGGUCAAUGUUCUUGUGGAGAUUACUGGUGAAGGGAUUGUCUUCAUAGACAUUUUCUCAUUUCGAAGACUUUCAACCACUGUGCUUGAUCACGUUACGCAUUCCUGGAUGGCAACCCCAACGAUCAACUUGCAGGGUUAAGAAGAUUACUUGGCUUGAGGUGAUUGGAGUCCACAUAAACUGUUAAGGGUUUGGAAUGUAUAGCAGGUUGAACCAUGUGGCAUUGCUUAGUUAAGACCAUCUUUACUGUGUUAAAAGGAUCUGAAGAAGAAAGAGACAAGUUAACAUCUUAUGAAAUGAGAGGAUAGUGCAGUUCUAUGGGAAUAGCCGCUCCCAACAAGAGAAGCAGAUUACAAUAUACUUGAUGAAGGGUUAGGGAAACACUAAUCGAGCAAGUGCUGCAUUGCAAGGAUUGCUCUUAGGUUCGCGCACUUGGAAACAACACCUUUGCAUAGAGAUCUUUUACCAGCUGAAUUGUGAAAAGAAGCAACGACUUUUCAAGUUCAGAUCUCUCUUUUUUCCUUCUCUUCAUCACCUUAUUUUGGUAUGAUACCUGCAUUUUUUUAAUUUGCAUUGAAUGUUUACGGGUACAAUAUCAACUUGUGGAAUUAGCAGCAGAGACGGAACCAGGAAUUUUGGUGAGGGUGAGCAAAUACAUAAUGUCAUCAUAUUGAUGAAAUAAUCAUAUAAACGUAAGAA